CCGCGCGCUUUCCCGGCUGCGCGCCCGCCCGGUCACGCGCCCUGCUCACCGCGCGCUCGCGUGGGGGCGUCCCCUCUGGCCCCGCGCACGCGCGCUACGUCCCUCAGACUGGCUGCCCCCGAGGGUUCGCCCCCAAAUCCUGUCAGUCCACGGCCUUGAUGGAGCGGCCCCCGUGGGACGACCCUGUUGAUUGUGCUAGCGGAUGUUGUCUCCAUUCUGGAUCUGGGAAAAACUGUGGAGUGAAAGCCGGACCUGUUAGGGUUGGGACCUGAAAGCGGACUUUUUCGCUCUCAGACGGGCCCCAGACGGGAGCUCUUUCAGGCCAGUGGUUUGUUGUUCAUCAAGAUAUCCAAGUACCCGGCAACAUUCCUGGCAUAUAAUAGGAAGGCAGAUCUGGUGAAUGAAUGAAUGAAUGGCGGUAUCUGGAGCAGAGACAAUGAAUUUCAUGUUUAACAGAGGUGUCUUCAAGGAGAUGAAACAAUUCAGAAUGACCUAGGCAAUGGGGUAAUUCCUAAGGAACAAGCUAUUCAUUCAUACAGCAUGGACGAAUAUUAAAUGCAUGUUGCUGAGUGAAAGAAGCCAGAAUGAUAAGGCUACAUCCUGGAAAAGUUUAUAUUCUGGAAAAGGCAAAACUUAUAGAGACAGAAACAAAUCAGCCAGUUGUUGCUGGGGUUUGGGAGAGAAGAAUGUUGACUAUGUGAAGAACAAGGGAUCUUGGGGGGCAUCUAUUCCAUAUGCUACUGUAGGGGUGGAUGCAUGAUACUAUCAUUUGUGGAAAACCAUAGAACUUUACAAAACUAACAGUGAACCUUAAUGUCUGCAAAAUUUUACAAAAUCAACUAGGAGGCUGGGGGAUCCCAGGAUGAAAUACAGGCAAUGACAAAAGAGCCUAACUCUAUUACACAUUUAUAACAUAACCGCACCGAAGAGGACUGGUAUUCUAUAACUGUGGAAAUAAUGGAAACUGGAAAACUGAAGACAAAAGGAACUGUACUUAGCACUAUACUCUAGUUGGUAAAGGCGUUUCUCAAGGGGUACCAGUUAACAAUUCUGAGACUGCUGUACAUGUAUGCAGAGACUGAACAAAUAAGUAAAUGGCUGGUACAUGCUCACUCUCAGGGAGGGAGGCCACAGAUAAACAAGAGGAAGAGGCUCUAAUGUCAUGUGUGGUUGUGGAUUAGAACCAGAAACAUAAAUAUGAACUCAUGUUUAGAUUAAUAUAGAUAUUAAUGGAUUGAUAUAGAAAUAAUGAUGAUAUGGGUAUAUAUACAGGUUAGUAUACAGUCAUAUAUUUCUUAUCCCUAUCCACUGAGAGGGCCUAGAAACAACAAUACUCCAGUAGCAACACACACAUCUCGUGCCCAUAUCUUGAUUUCUUUUGCCAUUUCCUAACAAAAGGAGCCAGGACUUCUUGGAGAAAUGGCUGAUUCUAAGACUGGGUCAGAGAGUAUACCAGAUGACGCUGGCACAUCUUCUACUGCUAGAAAGUAAGGAAAUGCUCAAAAAAUAAAACCACGGAGAUAUUUCAAAGGAACACAGAAGCCAAGUGGAACAGCUCCCAGUGGCCAAAGCUGGAAAAAUUGGGGCAAAAAAAAAAAAAAAAGUAUUAGGUUAUAAUCCAAAAUAUAAAAUAAAUAAUCACCAGCCCGUACUAAUGUGCAUAAAUUAUUGAAUAAAUAAGUAAAUGGGUGAAAAGAGAAAACUCUCUCCCAUACAAAGGAAGCCCAAAUAAUUUAUGUAGAUGAUCGCCCUGCAAUGAGGCAGAGGGCAACUCCCUACCCUGUGUUAAGUGUGGAUGGCACUUAGAGACUUGCUUCUGAAGAGCGCAAUACGGAAAGGAGGGGAGAAGUAACUUGGCAAUGAAGAAACCUGACAAACACCAUCUUCUCCAGGCAGCCAAGGUUAACACCAUCAGUGAUAAGUUACGUUGAUAGCCUGUAUUUUUGAUAUGAUGUGUUGAGAAUGUACUUAGUUUCUGUGGUCUUCUUCCCAAACACCUGACACCAGGCUCACCAGGAGAAAAUGAAUCCAAAUUAAGGGACAUUCUACAGAAUACCUGACCAACACUCCCUCCUAAAAACUGUCAAGGUCAUCAAGGAAUGUCUAGGAAGAAGGAAAGUCUGAGAAGUUGUCUCAGCCCAGAGGAGCCUUAAGAAGCCAUGACAGGUAGGGCGCGGUGGCUCACGCCUGUAAUCCCAGCACUUUGGGAGGUCGAGGUGGGCGGAUCACAAGGUCAGGAGAUUGAGACUAUCCUGGCUAACAUGGUUAAACCCCAUCUCUACUAAAAAUACAAAAAAAAUUAGCCACACGUGGUGGCGGGCACCUAUAAUCCCAGCUACUCAGGAGGCUGAGGCAGGAGAAUCGCUUGAACCUGGGAGGCGGAGGCUGCAGCGAGCCAAGAUCGCACCACUGCACUCUAGCCUGGGCAACAGAGCUAGACUCCAGCUUAAAAAAAAAAAAAAGAAGCCAUGACAACUAAAUGGACUGUGAUAUCCUGAACGGGAUACUGGAACAGAAAAAGGGUAUUAAUAAAUCUGAUCAAAGCAGAGAGCUCAGUUAAUAAAAAUGUGUCACUAUUGUUUCCUCAUUUGUUGUAACAAAUGGUGCCAUACUAAUGUAAGAUAUUAAUAAUAGGGGAAACUGGAUGCAGGAUGUGUGGGAACUCUGUACUAUCUUUGCACUUUUCUGUAAAGCCAACACUAUUUUUAUUUAUUUAUUUUUGAGACAGGGUCUCCAUCUGCCUCCCAGGCUGGAGUACAGCGGUGCCAUCACAGCUCACUGCAUCCACGACCUCCUGAGCUCAAUAGAUCUUCCAGCCUCAGCCUACUGAGUAGGUGGGACUACAGAAGUGCAUCACCAUGCCCGGCUAAUUUUUGUAUUUUUGGUAGAGAUGGGGUUUCGCCAUGUUGCCCAGGCUGGUCUCGAACUCCUGGGCUCAAACAAUGUACCCACCUCGGCCUCCCAAAGUGCUAGAAUUACUAACACUUUUGUAAAGUAAAAAGUUUAAAACAAAAAAUAAGAUUGGUAGAUGGAUAGAGGGUUGGAUAGAUAGCUGCGUGAUAAAGCUGUGUGAUAAAAUAUAAGAAAAUAUUAUUGGUAAGAUCUAGGUGCUGGGCAUAAAAGUGUUUGCUGUAAAAUUUCUCUGACUUUACUGUAUGUUGGAAAAUAUGCACAAUAAAAUGUUGGCAAAAAGAAUAUUAGUAUAAUUCAGAGUUAUUAAUGUUGCUCAUGUUUUUCUUUUUGCACUGUCAUCUUUCUUUUUUCCUUAUUUAUUUAUGGGCAUGAUUAUAUAUAGAAAGUUUUAAAAAAAUUUUUCCUGUUGCAUUUCAUUUCUGACCAUUACUACCAUUCAUUUUUUCAUGAUUAUUACUGAAAAUUAUUUUGUCAUGUGGAAGAUUGUUUUAAAAUUAUACCCUCUGGGUAUCAAAUCAUUAGAUAUGCCACUGCCAAGUAUAACCGAAUGUGUACUACCAAGGGGAUCCCCCAGC
rnacentral:lncRNA from 1 species